rnacentral:rRNA from 1 species
CUCGUAGGCGGUUCGUCGCGUCCGGUGUGAAAGUCCAUCGCUUAACGGUGGAUCUGCGCCGGGUACGGGCGGGCUGGAGUGCGGUAGGGGAGACUGGAAUUCCCGGUGUAACGGUGGAAUGUGUAGAUGUCGGGAAGAACACCAAUGGCGAAGGCAGGUCUCUGGGCCGUUACUGACGCUGAGGAGCGAAAGCGUGGGGAGCGAACA